AAGCGCAUGCGCAGCGGGCGAGAAGCUCUGUUUGACCUCAAACACAAACGGAACCUGACCCCCUCCCCGCGAAACGGUUCAGAAACCCAGGUGCCUUCUCCCAUUCUUUCAUUCCUUCAGUCUGUAUUAUGCACCCCACUUUUACCCCAGAGCAGGAGAAGCUAAGCGGGCUCCUCCGCUCAUUCAUUUUUUAGUAAAGGCAAAAGCAGCGAUCCACCAGCUUUGCACACCCACACUCAGACCCCAGCCUCUCUCUCGUGCGGUUUUUGUGCUCCUGUCGCCGAGGCCAUGACUAUAUAUCAUCAGGAUUCUGUUUUGUAACCCUGUGCCCUACUUCCACAGUGAGGAAACAGGGCCUAGAGAGGUGACCCAGCUGACCCAGGGCCAUACAGUAAGGUCAAGCCUGAUUGGAAGGUCCACAAAGUGCUUCUCCCUAGCCUUUCUUCUAGGAGCGGUAAACUUCAGAGCUUACAAUUGGAGUUUUAUCGAAGGGAGAGUAAAAAGCUUGACUUUCUCUGAACAAGGCAAGAGUACAGUCUGGCCCGGUCUGACAGGAAGUUUGAACCUGAAGACUACUCACCUUAUGAGGCUGCACGCUUGAGAAAAUCUCGAAACAAAAUGCUCUGGAUCUGUAGCAGGUGGAUGGUGCUGAAACUCCUAUGACAUCAUGUGCUGCAUGGUGACGUGAUCGUGUAUCAGUUAGGGAAAAGGGAGAAGCUGUAUACAUGAAAGAAAACUUUUGAAGUGUGUCUAUGUU